rnacentral:sRNA from 1 species
ACAGGCAUCCGGCGCGCUCCUCCCUCCCUGCAGCCCUGGGCAGCAUCUCCUAGAGGCUCCGCGGCCCAGGCUCCUGGCGCGUCUGCCGUGCAGGUGGCUCCUGGAAGACCCUCAGCCUGCCUGCUGAGGCCAUGUCGGACUACGAGAACGAUGACGAGUGCUGGAGCAUCCUGGAGGGCUUCCGGGUGACGCUUACCUCGGUCAUCGACCCCUCGCGCAUCACGCCCUACCUGCGGCAGUGCAAGGUCCUGAACCCUGAUGAUGAGGAGCAGGUGCUCAGUGACCCCAACCUGGUCAUCCGCAAACGGAAAGUGGGGGUGCUCCUGGACAUCCUGCAGCGGACCGGCCACAAGGGCUACGUGGCCUUCCUCGAGAGCCUGGAGCUCUACUACCCGCAGCUGUACAAGAAAGUCACGGGCAAGGAGCCAGCCCGCGUCUUCUCCAUGAUCAUCGACGCGUCCGGGGAGUCAGGCCUGACUCAGCUGCUGAUGACUGAGGUCAUGAAGCUGCAGAAGAAGGUGCACGACCUGACGGCGCUGCUGAGCUCCAAGGAUGACUUCAUCAAGGAGCUGCGGGUGAAGGACAGCCUGCUGCGCAAGCACCAGGAGCGCGUGCAGAGGCUCAAGGAGGAGUGCGAGGCUGGCAGCCGCGAGCUCAAGCGCUGCAAGGAGGAGAACUACGACCUGGCCAUGCGCCUGGCGCACCAGAGUGAGGAGAAAGGCGCCGCGCUCAUGCGGAACCGCGACCUGCAGCUGGAGGUGUGCCCGCUGCCCCCGGGGAACCAGGCCCCCCUCGCCUGGCCUGGCGGGGUCUGCAGGCCGGGGUGGUCGGGGGUGGCCCCAUGGGUCUGCGGUCACCGCCUGGAGGGGACAGCCAGGCCCACCAUACCUUCUGCAGAUUGACCGACUCAAGCACAGCCUCAUGAAGGCAGAGGACGACUGCAAGGUGGAGCGCAAGCACACGCUGAAGCUCAGGCACGCCAUGGAGCAGCAGCCCAGCCAGGAG